ACGUAGGAUGCAAGCGUUAUCCGGAAUUAUUGGGCGUAAAGCGUACGUAGACGGUUUACCAAGUCUGGAGUUAAAGACCGAGGCUCAACCUCGGGAGUGCUCUGGAAACUGGUAGGCUGGAGGACGGCAGAGGAAAGUGGAAUUCCCAGUGUAGCGGUGAAAUGCGUAGAUAUUGGGAGGAACACCAGUGGCGAAAGCGACUUUCUGGGCCGUUCCUGACGCUGAGGUACGAAAGCCAGGGGAGCGAACGGGA
rnacentral:rRNA from 1 species